UAGCCAUGGUGCGGGCAUUGAUUUAACAGAUCUUUGAAUCUUUCCCAGACUUGAUAGAACGUUUCAUUGUCCUUUUAGACUAUUGGUCUUAUGGCUGGGGAA